UCAUUGAAGUUGGUAGAAUGGUAUCCAUAGCUUUUAUCUGUGCACAGAUUAGCAUGGUCUUUGCUUAUGUGCUCACACUUUGCAAUGGUGUUCACUUCAAUGAGGGACCAGAUAUGGCUUGUCCUUCUUGCCGAUAUCCGUGUUUAGAGCAUCCUUAAAAAGGUAGCAUGCGGCUCCAUGUGUGAUCUACUUAUACGCGGUUGCGAUAGUUAUUUGGUAUCCCACCAAUGGCACGAGGGUAUGUCGACCUUAUACGCACCUUUGUUCGACUCUUGGGGGGAAAAUUCAAACCUUCCCAGCUGGAAUUUUGCAAGUGACCACUGGAAGAUCCUGUCGCUCUGCUUCGGAGCUGUGCUUCUCCUACUACUUGUCUAGGUUCUAACCUUGUGGCCGUAGGGUUUUGAGGGGUGAUUCUUUAUGUGUCUCGAAUCCUAAUUGGUGCUCCGACUGCGGAGUAUCCUCCGCAUAAUUUGUCUAUGCAUUUUUUGUUCUCUAGGCCAAAUCGCCAAAAUCUUACCACGUUGGGUAGACAUCGGAAUUCUUGUGGGUGCACCGAAUAAACAUACUGGUCUGCUGAUGGCGACAAGUUUUCUCUUUAAUAAGUCACAGAACCCGUAGAAUGCGGAAAAUAGCCAUAUAAUAUACUAGCCAUCACCCAUUGUAGGUUUCGAUAAUAAUUCCCAACAACAUCUAGGGUGCCUGACUCUUUAAAUUGAGUGGACUAAAGUAAUUCGACAAUUUAAUUAGAUAUCUCUAAGAUCUUAAAUUUUGAGAUUGUAGCACCAUUCGCAAUGAUAGUUGAAGCACAAACUUCAUGACAAAGGGAAGUCGUUACAGAAGUCUGGAAAAGUGGAAGAACCCUACUCUUCCUUAACUCUAUCAGCUUAGGGGUCAAAAACUCUCAAGCUUCCACUAACAUUCAUUACACCGAAAAGUUAUCUCGUCGUCGUCUUCAACCGCUCCUAACUGAGAUGGACCCCUGUUGUCUUCGUGGUACAAUUCUAGUUUCUGAAUACCAGAUUAUGGCAAGAAACUAGACAGCACAGGGAACAUGGUUGCGAAGAGGAUAUGCUUCAUACAUUGUCACCAAAAGAGACUUUUGAACAGUAAGUUCAUCGUAUAGUCUUUAGCAUCCUUUAUGCACUCAAUACGGAGAUGUCAUGGGUGCGAUCCGGUGUAAUAGCUACAUCAAUGAGUAAGGUAACUACGAAAACUGCCAAAAUAUUUUAACCAACGCGACGGCGGCCUAGAGCAAAGCAUUUACAGGAAAGCCCCAAAUGAGGUUUCAGACGUUACUUCAAAACUGAAUCAUUCCCGACCGCAUCCAUCAGUCAUUUCCCAUGUACAACUCGUCCACACUGCUCUCAACCAGUUGCACCAACCAGCAUCCAGGUGCACGAAGGGAGAAGAGAAGCACAUCUCCCAAUUUAAUGCUGUUUUCGUUGCGAAAGUCUUCCCACCCGAUUGUGAAACUCAGGUUUCUAGUACUCGAGAAACGUAGUUGCACCACACGACCAGUUAGUCCUUGGAAAGUAUUGAUUCGCUCGGCGAAAAACUUUUCAUACUUGAGGAAGAAUUCAGCUGGCACACACUGUCAUAAAAUACGAGCACAAUGCAGAUAAUCCAAAGAACAGUACAGAUUGCAGCUACAACGUCUACUAUGUACCCAACAAGAUUCCAAUAAGCAAGCCAAAGUUAUUCAAGUCCUGUGGUUUCAUUAUCUUGUUGAGCACCAAGAUCGCAGCACCGCGUUCUGAGCUUACCAGUUUACUCGCCAGAGGGCUCGGGGCCUGAGUGACGAAACUCACUGGGAGCUUUGGUGCAGCGGACUUUUCGUGUAUUGUUGUCAUUUGGAGCUUCAGAGAGGAGACGCACCAUGAACGUGGACUUUGUUACCAGGGAGAAAAUCAGGUGAUCUCCAACCUUCAACCCAUUUUCAAGUACGAAAGUUUUCCAUCCAGAACCGCCAAAGUGCACUCUGUCUUGAACAUCGUAUGAUCUGAUCGUCAGGUGCACAACCGUCAGUCGGCCACUGGGUCCUUGAAGGAUGACAUUUGCUUUCAUGUUGUGUCCAUGUUCCUUGACAAACGGAGCUGGAAUCUCCUAAAAAGAAAUCGCGCAGUUGCUUAAGAAAGAAGAAAUGUGGCAUUAAGAGCAUACAGGUUUUACAAAUAAAAAGGGCUAGAACCAAGAUCCUGAAAAUGUUAUAACAAUCAGCAUGAACUAGAGUUGAAGCUUAUCAUUCACGUCUUUACCAGAAUGUUCAUAAGCAGGCAUACAAUUAAAAGAUCUGUAAGGAAACGAUGACCAAUGCUAUGCAUCACAAUGCAUGUUAGCGGCCCAUAAUUUCUCACCAGUGCAACAAGAUUGCGACUGUGUCGAACAGUCUUGAUGAAUGAAGGGUUUGUGGAAGGAGUAGUGCCGCAGACAAGUCUAUCCUUGUCUUCUUUUUCAUGGGAAGACAUAUUCUGUACAGUGGAGGUAACUCUGUACAGGGCAGGUAUGGCAGCUUCACUGGAUAUCCCUAAGCGAGAGGUUGGAAGGUCUCGAUCGAUCUUAGUUUCCUGCAGCAUUUGAUCCAUUCCCACAGAUUAGCUGAUCUUUGAUCUUAGUCCGUCUUGCUUCACAAGGACGUUGUUCUGCCUGCGACAUUCGUCCAAGAUGUCACAAAUAAAAGGUAAAUGCAAUACUCCUUGCUAAACCCUCUUAGCAGAUUGAUUUGGAAUUCGCAAGGCCGGGAAAGAACAGCUAAAUUACUCAGGAGUCUAUCAUGGGGGUUGUAUGUGUCGAGUGUAACAGAAGGUAACUAGAUGUGUAACCCUCUCUAAGCCUUCCAAAUAGGAAGAUCACAGGUGUUGAUAAUUGUCCCGUUCUUUGCUGAAGUACUCUGAUCUACCACUGUAUUGAUAUGAUUUAGGAAUGAGAAGUAGGUUCACCACCUCACGAAGUAGAUCACGAAACACCAGGCCUUGUGAAGUUGUGUCGCUGAAUUGGCCUUCUAAAGUUUAUCAACCUUGAUCAGCAGACUCUAAUCACAACAAAUCAUCCAUGUCAAUCAAUUGAAGGUGAUUUGCAAGGUUGAUAGAGUGAUGAACAUCCAUAAACCGUGCAGUCCGCCUUCAGACUACACUGAGAAAACAAUGUCAAUCAUUCAAUCAAUUCAAGAUUUGUACUUUCAAGCUCUUCACAGCAAUUUUGUCAUCUCUCUAUCGACGUUGUCAUCAUGAGAGAGGCAGGUGGAUUAAAAUGAUAAUAAGUACCCUCCAACUCAACUCAAUUCGAGGAAGUGACGUGCGCCAUUUGCCGUUACAAUCGUCUGAACAUCCUUGAUACCAGAGUAUGACUUGAGUAUGAACAAUAACGACAAUAAGCAUGCUUGGUGGGCCUGGAACUAACUUGAGCUUGUUGGACAUGACCACUCUAGACAACUAGCUAAGAAUCUCAACUGAAUAGUCUAUCUGUUAAAAACAGGUUCUUGCACAUAUCGACAUUCAGAUGAGCAGAUCAGUGUAAUCAGCCUCUUACAAAUGAGAACUCCAUUUCAGUUA